GCCUAACACAUGCAAGUCGAGCGAGAAAAGGGUAGCAAUACCCUGAGUACAGCGGCGCACGGGUGAGUAACACGUGGGUAAUCUGCCCUGGAGUGGGGAAUAACACCGGGAAACCGGUGCUAAUACCGCAUACGAUCACGAUGUCUGCGGAUGUCGUGAUGAAAGGAGCAAUUCGCUCCAGGAGGAGCCCGCGGCUGAUUACCUAGUUGGUGAGGUAACGGCUCACCAAGGCUACGAUCAGUAUCCGGUCUGAGAGGACGGUCGGACACACUGGAACUGAGACACGGUCCAGACUCCUACGGGAGGCAGCAGUGGGGAAUUUUUGGCAAUGGGGGAAACC
rnacentral:rRNA from 1 species